UACGAAGGGGCUAGCGUUGUUCGGAUUUACUGGCGUAAGCGCACGUAGGCGGAUCGUUAAGUCGGGGUGAAAUCCUGGAGCUCAACUCCAGAACUGCCUUCGAUACUGGCGAUCUUGAGUCCGGAAGAGGUGAGUGGAACUCCUAGUGUAGAGGUGGAAUUCGUAGAUAUUAGGAAGAACACCAGUGGCGAAGGCGGCUCACUGGUCCGGUACUGACGCUGAGGUGCGAAAGCGUGGGGA
rnacentral:rRNA from 1 species